rnacentral:rRNA from 1 species
CCAGACUCCUACGGGAGGCAGCAGUGGGGGAUAUUGCACAAUGGGGGAAACCCUGAUGCAGCGAGGCCGCGUGAAUGAAGACGGCCUUCGGGUUGUAAAGUUCUGUCGCAGGGGACGAAAAUGACGGUACCUGACUAAGAAGCCCCGGCUAACUACGUGCCAGCAGCCGCGGUAAUACGUAGGGGGCAAGCGUUAUCCGGAUUUACUGGGUGUAAAGGGAGCGUAGGCGGCGAUGCAAGUCAGAAGUGAAAGCCCGGGGCUCAACUCCGGGACUGCUUUUGAAACUGUGUUGCUAGAUUGCAGGAGAGGUAAGUGGAAUUCCUAGUGUAGCGGUGAAAUGCGUAGAUAUUAGGAGGAACACCAGUGGCGAAGGCGGCUUACUGGACUGUAAAUGACGCUGAGGCUCGAAAGCGUGGGGAGCAAACAGGAUUAGAUACCCCAGUA